GUAUCAUAAAUUAGAUAUCGCUAAACGAUACUUGUAUUCGAUAAGGCUGCGGACAUUUAUUUUCACUCAUUACAAUAUGAUAUAUGUGCAUUUUUAUUUUCAUAUAAAAUAUGAAUUUGCAUAAAUAUACGCAGUCUAUUGAUAAAUCUGAAUAUUUUUUAUUUGAACACGGUCGCUGGAUACGUCUCGUAUCGGUGUCGACAUGUAUUUUUAUGAUACGCGUAACGAUGCUGACUCGAAUGCGAAAUAUAAAUAAAAAUCAGAUUUUGUAAGCAACUUUCAACGUGUGCAAAAUUUUGCGAUAUGCAAAUAAAAUUCCAUAUGAAACUUAUUCGUAAGCACAUAACGUGAAUCAACAGAAAUAUAUAAUCAAUAGAAUAAAAGGGAAUGAAAUCAACGGUAAACGUUUGAAACAAAUAAUUUGUGGUUUUGCAAUUCAAGAGUUUGCUUAAGAUUCCAGUUCCGUGGAACUCUGUACGAUUACACGUUUAUAUAUCGGAUAAAAGUUGCAAAAUUUGUUCGAUGUAAUAUAUUCGACUUUUCGAAUCAACUAAUAAUUACCAUAAGGAUUUACGACUUGAAAACCGAUAAGGAAAGUUUAUCGAGUCCAGUUCAUUAACGUUGUUUCAAAAGUACAAUCUUUCCUGUCUUCUUCUCAGCCAUUGAAGUAAUACAGUUUGAACUGUUUGAAGUUGCUCGGUAAAUCACAUCGGAAUUUCUUCUAAACGAGGACAAUAAGGUUGCCAACAGAUUUAAACAAUUUUCUACUUUUUUACAAUACGUCAAAUGGAUAACAAGAAGUUAAUUUUCAUUUCGUUAUAAAGAUUUGGUCCGAACUUUGCAAUACUUUUUUUUUAAUAUUUCUCAACGAAAUAACAUUUUAAAUAUAUCUAUUCAAUAUUCUAUCAGAAAGAAAGUUACAGAAUGUUACUAGUGUAUAUAUAUAUUAGUAAUUUCUGUAUCAGAGAUUUUUUACUAUCUAACACAUUUAGAAACUAAACUAAUCAACUUCAUUUCCUUCGAAAAAUUCCUUAAUCAUAAUAUUAAUUGAAUAUUAAUUUAAUUCUUCAGAAAUGGAAACAUUAACCGGAAAGAUUUAAUCUUGCAUGGAAUUGGCGAAACGUGAAUUUUGUUUCUGUAUAAUACAGAUACCGCAGUUAUUCAUCGCUUCUGUCAAAUAAAAUUCCUUUUUAUAAAAUUAUGGCGUUUACAUCUGUUUCUAUAUCUAUAUAUAUGAUGUAUUGUAUAUUCUUGAAACUUCCUGUUGCCCGCUGCUGUAUAUUUAUCAGUCGUCUUGUACGUAACAGUUCUCGUAUUCCGCUGCAGACAAUAAUAAGCAGAAAAAUAAAUGUUGAGUCGAUGUUGUGUUGCUAGCUCUUGCAAGUAACUGCUUUUGAUGCGCAUACGAACAGCAAGUAUAAAUCCCUGAUUGAGAAUCGGACUAAGCACGUCAGCAAGCGACUCUGGAAACCCAAUGUAGUAACGUCGAGUUCAUGAUUCCCAAGACGUGCAGAACAAACUAUUUUGCGGACUCGAGAUAAAUCACGCCCAAGACUUUGUUGCAAGAAACUUGGGGUUGCUAGAUUUUGAAUUUGUACCGAUAUAACAAGGUCUCUAUUCGUUCGUUUCUCGAUCCUUCUUAUAGCUCAUGGCAAAUAUCUUAUAUCGUGUCGUAACAUAGAUGAAGGACAAUCGGUUAAGCACAGUAUUCUACGAUAUUAAAAAUUCAUACAAUUUGUCUAUUCCACAAAUACGAAUCUUUAUGUUCUGUUCCUAUUUUGUUUCUAAGUAUCUACGUAUAUUUCUGAUCUGACGAUAAUAACAGGAUGAUAUCUCUCCAAUAUUAUUGACUAAAUUAGUCCAGAAAUUUAAAAAUCGAGUUUCAAGUUUCAUUAGAAAUUGCUUUAUACGUCAAAUAUAAAGUCGAAUUAGUAGUAGUAAUACGAAUUGAAAUUAAUAGAAAUAUCAUAUCAAAUUGUACAUAAAAGCUAAGAGUAAAAAAUGUAAAAUGAAGAAUAAAACAGGUUUAUUCCAAAAUAAAUUUUCGCUUUCAAUUUUUUAUAUUCUAAAAGAUGUAUUCCAUGUAUUGUAUCUGUACCGGCGUGCAGCAAAAAUAGUGUCUUCGUUAAUUUACAGAGUGAUAUUGUUCUGAAAUAUUUUUAUUUCUUACGUUAACGCUUAAAUAGAAACUUUCGUAAUCUAGAAAUUAAGAAAUAAAUAGCAAAAGCAACGUCAAUUUCGAUUAGGCCAGUUUUUGUCUCCUCUAUACGUAGAUAUACGAUAUUUAUAUUUAAAGGAAAUAUCACGGAGAUCUGAUGUCUCCAAAUAUAAAAAUUAUACCAGCAAAUUGGUGAUGUGAAUAACGAGUUAAUCAGAAAACUGUCAAAAUAGUAGAAACGACUAAUUAAAAAUUCUACACAGAAACUUUCUAGAUAUUCAUUAUUUACAAGAAUAUAUUUUUCGAAGAUUUACAUCAUUUUUAGAACGAUAUAUGGAUAUUGGUUUGUAACUUUUCAUACGUUUCAUAUAUUUAAAUAUUUUUCCAAUCCCGUCUCUUCGACACAGAUUUUACAUUUUCAUCAUAAUCCCAGUAUUAAUGAUUAUCGUACGUUCUCAAAUUAUUCGCGCAUUUUUUCCAAUUCGCCCGCUAUCGAUCCAAUUCGAUGAAAAAGAAAAAUUGUUUCUAAACGGAAAUGUGUACACGCAUUCGUUCUACGAUCAAUCGUUUCUCGGUUAUUCGAGUUUGAUUCCCGGAUUGACCUCCUUCCAUGCUCAACUUACAUAUAUUACCUUACGAGCUUCCGUUUAAUUGAACAAAUACUAUAUCUCGGCCGAAUACCGAUGCGGAUAACAUUUCCCUUCGUCUCCGCUGUCAAGCUGGGACUUUUCCCUUUUUUCAAUUACCUUUCGGGGGCUUCGGCGGCGGAUAACAUUUCAAAUACUGAUCACUUCCCUUGCGUUAUCAAUUACAAUGGUUGCCGGGGGAAUACCCUCAAGUACCGGCCUCCGUUAUCUUACUGCUGUUGUUCCUCGAGUUUAUUAUACCAUAAGGCGUUCCCGUAAAACAUCUUGGGACAAUUCGCGCGAUAUUUGUUUGGUACUUUAACAAGUGCGAUGUUCGAAACAAUUACGGGACCACGUUUCUGGACAAUUUAGAGGAACAAGCCGAAUGUCGGGGAUGAAGAAACUGCUAUUAGUAGAAUGGUAUGUGUGAUAUAUUGUGGUAAUGCAGCAGCGUAGUAAUAUAGCAUUACGAUAAUAUAGGAUGGCCUGGCAACGGGGAAGAAUGUGAUCCCUUGUGCGAGAGUAAGUCAAAAGUGGAGAGUUAUCUAAUAACUUGAAAUUAUUCUCGUGAAAUUGCUUUUCACCAAAAGGUCAGGCUUAUUGAUUUUUGCAACGAGAUAAUAGUACGCCACGGAUAAUAGAUAGUUUGAAUAAUGCGGACUACUGUUAGAUUUAUGAAAUACCUUCAUCACGAGUAUUUUAUAUAAUUUUCCGUUGACGAUGCUUCGCAGAAAAAAUUAGAUACAUGAAGCUCAGAUGUAUGUACGAUCCCAUCUCGUAUAAUAAUAUAAAUGUGCUAUCAUAGUCAUAUAUCGUUGUAUUAUUUUCGUAAUGAUAAUAUACGUAGGAUGCCUUUUAAACAUUGAAAGCUCCAAGUACCAAACAGUAAGCCCUGCUGGCCCAAUUUCAGCCACGAUAAUAUUAACCAAAUAUCGUACGAACUAACCAUCUUCCGUUAACAAAGGAAAACCUAUUAUAAAUAAUUUAAAUUUCUUAUUAGAAGAAAUUUCGUACAAAAAGUAGAAAGAGGGAAAACAAGCGAGAUCUGGAAUCUUUGUGACCGAAGACAAAUAGCCGAUAAAAGGAUCCCGGAAAUAGGCGAUCUACUGAUGGACGCUCGACGACGCGACGAUCUAAUUUGGCUGGCAGAAGGCGGUAUUAAGCGGGGGCCCGAGGACUGUCGGUAAUUAAUUCAUCGACGCAAUGCUGGUCCUCGGUAGAAAGUCUGAAGGAUCCAACAGUCGAUUCUCGGCUGUUUGCUUUUAUCCUUGUCGCCCGACACCGAUCCUCUCGUCUUCUUCUCGCCAACCUACGCCUCUUUUCCUCACGGACCAUCGGCGAAGUUCGUUCGCAGAGUUUAACCAGGGCUCCGCUAUCGACCUGGCGAGCAACCUCGGCGUCUGCGUCGAUGUCUGCGUCGCGCAGACGCCCCGACACGGGCCGGGUUCCCUCCAAUCGAUUUCAGAUUUUCCAGCAUAACGAGGCCGACUGCUGCCCAAAAAUUCCUCUACGCGCACCUUCCUUCUCUGUCUCGUCUUCUCCGCCAGGGCUGUCAACCCCUUUCACUCUAUUUCUCUCGCCUGUUUCUUGCACUUUCGUCCCCCUCCUUUUCACCUCUCCCCCUCCUUUUAUACUGCCGCUCUGGCUUUUCUACGGGGCCACGAAAGUGGCCCCUGCCGAUCGAUUUUCGAUACGGAUAAUUGUGGAUCCAACGUCCAACGUCUAUUGAAAGUUUCGUUUUCUCGCUCUUCUUUUUUCUUCUCUUCUCUUAUCCCCUCUAGUUCUUUUCCUUUCUUUCACCUGCUUUCUUCUUUCUCGUUGUCACGCUCGCGGAUUGUUCGCGCAUAAUCCGAGUUCGAUUCUUUGACGAGAGUCCGAUUCACCGGGAUGCUCUUUCUUCGAUUGAUUUCCACGAAACUUUGCCCGGCUUUUUUUUUCCUCGAGGCGUUGCUCCGAAAGGUGACUAAGAGCGAAUUGUUCUCUGAUUCUGAUAAUCGAGAGCGUCAGAUUGCGCUUCGAACUAGUUAUUCCGUUAACAAUUACCAUCGUCUGGCUCUUAGUAAUUAGCUUUUUAAUUCGAUCAACAGUCUCGUCACGCGUUUAAAUAAAUUUAGACGGCGUUCGAUAUUUUCCGGUUGGCAAUAGGUUCCCUCGUAAAGAGCAAGACAAAGGCAUCCGGCCAAUCGUAGAAAUUAUGUCGACGGUGCAAAGGCGGACUGGUACGAACGAGUCGAAAUAAAAAGGCAGAAGGUCAGUGGGUUUCGAGUAUCAGAAAAAUCUUUUCGAUCGUCCCUUCGCGUCGCUCGUCGUGUCCCUCGUUUCGUGUUUCAAGAAGAUAGUAGAAACGUUCCGAUUAUGGUCAGACGUGUGCCGCAUAUAUUCUCUAGUCUUUCAACGGUAAAACGAUCGCUAUCGUUUCUCUUUUACCUCUAUCGUGAUCUUGACACGUUUCAUCCUAACUGCUAUCGACGAUAGAGAAGGUGGAUGCAUUUGAAAAGUGUCACGGGACUUUUUUUAUUUCGCAAACUACGGCAAACCGGCUGAAUUUGUAAUACAAGACAAGUCGAUACUAGAUGGCUCCUUCUAACUCGUCAAUCAGAAACGCAAUGACCUAUCCAUGUCGACGAUUUCUCACAUUUUUGAACGCAACUUCUUCUUUGCUUUUUUUCUUCUCGUCCUCUUUCUCUGCUUCUCUGUCAAACGUACGAGUUUCUGUAGCAAGUUACUUGGCGCGUUUCGUCAAUUUCUCCUUCGUAACAUUCAUGCGCUACAACGUACCCGAUAGCUCGCGAGACUCGCGUAAAUAAUAAAAAGCCUCUCGAAUCCGCCGGUAACAAAUAUCAUGCUAGAAUUUUAAUUUUCAAUAUUGCCUCGAAAUUUCAGACGCGCCAUCCGUUCGUCUCCGAUAUCGUAUCUCAUUCCGUACAUGUUUAUGCAUUUUUAUUUGCAUCCGAGUUGCCGGUGUAUUCAGGGUUAAAAUUUCGUAGUCGUCACCCCUCCGAGGAUCUACUCCACCCUCUCUUUCUCUCUCUCUCUUCCUGGUUGCACCCCUCUGUGCCAUUGCAAGAACACGCUUAACCCGGCCGAGUCGCGCAAUGGAAAUUCUGAUUGCGAUCAAUCAGCUUCCGCUGCUUCAGAUCUUCUGCUACUGGGAGGAACAAUAAAGCUGACGUCCGCCAAAUGCGUCUCUGACCUCCUUUGUACUUCCAUCAUUGUUUUCCACCGGAAAGCACUCGUCUGUUUUGCCCUAUUGCCGAUGCGGAACGAACGCACCGUGGGAAGCUCGUUACACGAAUAUCUUGUGCCCUUUCCUUGUUUAUGGAUUACAAGUGGCUUGGCUUGAAUCUCUAUCGAAAUCAAGGGUCGUUCUUCGUUUCGUCCCUUUUUCUAUAUAAUCUUACUCAAAGGAGGGAUACUUAACCAAAUCGAUCGUUCAUUUUUAUUGACUGCCCGGUGGCAGAUACGACGAAUGAGCAUCAGAAGCUACGGAGAACGAAGAGACGAACAGAUGGAAAUUCAAUUUGAUUCGAUUAGCGAACCAAAGUGGAAGGGUAGGGAAAGAGAGAGAGAGAGAAACAAUUGUGGCCGUGGUUCGAAUUCUCGAGUGACCCUAUCUACUCUGGAUGAUCACGACCCGAGAUUUCGAUAGUCAUUCGAUACCAGCCAUUUAGACGGUUUUCGAUGCUUCCAGUUUUCCUGUAAUGAUAGAUACGAGCGGGGCUAGAGGCCGAUUCUCAUCGAGAAUUUUCCGCGUCCGCGGACAGACGGUUCUGAGAGAGAAAUGCAAUGUUUAUCGACAACGUCGAGAGACUCUUAUUAUAUUUUGACGCGCGAGAGACCGAGCUUAGUCAAGUGAAAAUGACGUUAAUUAAUAAUAUCGACGGGAUAGAUAAAAGAAUUUCUCUUUCCGAUUAUAGCGACGAUUUUAAAAAGGGGUAAUUAAAAUCAUUUUUUUCUCAUUAUGGUAAAAAAAAAAGAAAAAGAAGGAAGAAAAAACACGUCACGGUUGACGUUCGGUCUUGUUUUAAAGCUUUCCCCGCAGCAAUCCUUUAGCAACGUCCAAUUUUAUCAAAUUAGAGACCACUUUGAGAACGAAGACGCGACCUCCGGCCACGAGUUUCUGUUUGACUUCUAUUUAAACCUCCAGAGAGUUCGUCCACCCUUUGGCCAUUACCGUGGCCGCAGUGUAUCCUUUUAAUAAUCCACCGUGUAUAGUUUCGCUGUUGAUACUGGCACGAUUUCGCAGUUAACGAUAAAUAUCUGAUACGCCGCGAUGGAGAACAGCGUCGCUGAAUAUUUCGCGUAACGCUUAUUCACCGAAUAAUAAGCUUAUUCGCCGAAACGAAUGCUUUCUGGCUGAAUAAUUGGACUGACCUACUUCAAAGGGCUCGCUAAUUACGUAAAGAUAUUAUCUUAUUCGCGCGGAACCAAGUAAAUACAACCACUACGGCUCAUCUCCUUCAAUCUCGGAACGGUUUACUUUUCGGUUCAGGAUUUCGAUCCUCUUGUACUACGUGUUCUUUACUUUAGAAACACUUGCAUAAUGUUCUCGGAAGGUUAUCGAUAUUUACAGCAUAUGGGUUUCCACUAAACUCAACUCGGAAAUUUGAACGAAUCUGAAUAAUUCGAAUGCCGGGCCGCGUACUCUGAUUAUUUGAAAAAUCUUGACAAGAUUGGAUCCAUAUGAAUAAUUUAAGCGGUUUCAAAGCUCGACCGGCUCGCUUCUGCUGAAGGUACUCGAAUUAAAACAAUCAGUCGAGUCCCUUUGUAGUAUAUUUGAACAGUACGAAGUUGUAAUAUACGAAAUAUGUCUACGCAAUAUAUAUUCGAUUAAUUUAACUCUUUUGCAGUAUAGCACGAGAAUGAGUGAGAUUAAAUUUCACUUUUUUUUUUUCAAUUAUUAUAGAUACCGAAUGUAUUACAAUUUGUUUCUUAUGAAAGAACUUUCGAAGGUAUGUAUUUGGUAUAUUGAUAUCAAAACUGCAAGAGAAACCUUGGCUAUGCAGAAAUAAUUAUUUUCUAAGGCUUUCGCUGUCAAUUCGCCAAUUUUAUUUUAUUAUACGUACCUGCGAGAAAAAAAGAUUUCUUAAAGUAACGAAACGAAUCAACAUGCUGCUGUGCCUGAAGAAUGAAAAAUCAUUAUCUAUAACACCAAUAAGCAUUCUUGUUAUCACUUGAAAUCUUUCAAUUGUUUCAAAAUCGAUCAAGCAUAUCGGUGAAUUUAUGUUAUUCGUUUGAUCUCGAAUAAUCUGAAUAUAAGCAAAUUUCCAAUCACACGGACCAAUCAUUCAAAUAUGAAAUUACCCCGUACUUAUUCGAAUAUUCAAAGUAUUAGCGCGAUAAUCGAGUGUCGUUCAGUUUGAAUUUCAAAUAUCUAGACAGCUCUAUAACAGCGUUCGCUUUCCACCCCUGUCAUACGUUCCUACGGAUAGAGUAUCAUGCUACAUGAAACCUGUACGGCGAAAAAGGAGUAUCAAUUUCAUUUAAUUAAACUCAUUUAAACGUAAAUGAAAAGCGUUCCCGUUCGCGCGGCCGUCCGGGAUUCUAUUUGAGCACCAUAAUCAAAGGAGUUAAUUGACUUCGCCGCGAAGCCAGUAACUUCUCGUCUUCUUCCGACUUCGAAUCGUAUCGACAGGAUAUCGAUCCUUUUAUUCCUUUCGAACGGAAUAAAUCAGAAAAGUGUAUUACGUUCUGACGCAUGAUAGCCCUAGGCCCCAGAAUUCGUAAACCCUAUGGGUCACUCCAUAAAUCAACCCCUUCGAGUAUGCCAAACCAUCACCCUCUACAAUAAAACUCAUUUCUUGCGAAUCAAUAUUUCAUCCGCUGCUCAAAUCCUUUAAUUCAAUGAUCGAACAGCUUUCUGGGAAAAGCAUACGUAAGACAAAAUAACGAAUUGCGUUCAGAUUGCGACUUUUAACAUGCGUAUACGUUACACUUAAUUCAGUAGAAUCAAAGCAAUAUGAGAAAAAUAAAUUACAAGUUCUCGGUAAAAGUAAGCAAUCGUGUUAACAAAGAUAGUUGCAUAUUUUCAUUAAUUGCAGAAACAAUCGUUUCCAUUAGUUUAGCCAGAACACGUUUAAAUCGAUAAUUUCUAUAUUUUAUAUUUACAUAUUUUACAUUUGUAUUGAUAAUUCUGUAUGUACCAAGGAAAUAAAAAUUCUAUAAUAAUUCGACCAUUUGAUUAAAAAAUACGCUCCACUCCUGUGUAUAUUUACCAUUGACCUAUAGAUUCCUUUUUCAGGAAGCUUUUCAAUUAUUUCCCUCGUUGAUUCUAAAUUGAUCAAUCACGUUACACUAUGACGCACGUAUAUAUAAAUACUUCGCUAAGUCAAUAAGAGUUAGAUUUUGUACUAAAUUCAACUUCGACUUUAUCUCGAUUAAACUGCAAUCCUAUUUUGUGUGUCAACGUUGAAACAGCGAACAAAGCUGGUCUUAAGGAAUACAUACUAGCACAAACCGCGCACAAUAUCAAUCAGUUUCGACGAAACUCUGCUACAUCCGAGUGUAACAAUGACAACGGGUCAGUCGGUCGAACUUACAACUUGUCAUCAGCCACGUUCAUCCAGUGUUUUCGAAGACAGUUAACUAGGCAAGAAGUUCGUCGGUUACUGACGUUUCCGGUCGUUUCGGAUUUUAUAGAACUAGAGGUCGUAACCAAGGCUCAAACGUUGGCUGAUUUCCACCAUUUAAGCCUCUCUUCUUCCUCGCAAAAUUAGUUAACGCUUCUGAAAAACAUGACCAGGAGUAUUGCCUUUCGAAACGAACUUGGAAAACAAGCUUGUAUCGGUUCACCCGUACAGAAGCUAUAAAAGGAACGAGUUCUGACGCAAGACGUUAAUCAACUCACUGGUGAAGGAUUUGCUGUCAUUCAUCUUGUUUAUCGUCUAUUGGUGAAAAUCCAUUGCCGAUAUAUGUAUGUAUAACGUAAUCGAUAGGAGAAUACGAAGAUGAAUAAGCGUGAAAUAUAGCAACUGUAAAAUAUAAUAUAAAGAUAUCGAUGGAACUAAAUGCAAAAUAAAAUGGAAUAAAAGAGUUUUGAUGUAUCGUUUCGAUAUAUUGAUGUUUUGAAAAAAAAAAAAGAAGAAAAAGAAGAUAAUUGAUCUAUGGGGAACGAGUUUAGGGAGAUUCUGUUGCAUAAAGAUAAAUAUUAUACGAAAUAAAAAUACGAGUGUCGAUAUGAUCUCAUUUGGAUACAUAUCGGCCUGUUUCCCAACCGUCUUCCUAGUUAUACAUAAAUAUUGAUUUUCUCGAGCAAUCGAGAACGUUCAAUGCGGCCGUAUGUAACCUCGAAAGGUCCUUGACAUUUUUACGUGCUUCAAGAAUAUAGAUACUAAUUGCGGCGAGCGAAAGUAUUGUUACAGAUAUGGUAGGAUCGCUCAUGAAAAAGUCAACGCAUGAUAUAAUCUAUCCAUAUUGUUUCAUUUAUGUAUAUGUCAUAGCCUAAUAUCUUCAACAAAGAUACAUGAAUCGUGCGUAUAAGAAAUAUAGGAAUGAAAUGUUAAUGGAAAAUAAAUGAUUGAUUGGAAUAAGACCCUGUUCACUAUGUAAUUAUCGUAGCGAUUAGCGAUUACUUUUUAAUAAUUUCGAUAUUGCGAGUAAGAUGAAAUUAUGUGGAAUAACGCUUGAAAUGUAUUCUGGAUGAAAUUAUGAAUUUUAAUAUCUUUAAAUGAAUUUCUCCCUUAAUAAAGAGUUUUACCAGUACGCGCCAUAACGUUCGCUUUUGUUUUAACGAAUUAUUACGAGGUAAUUAAUUAAAUUCAAUAAUACGUUUUCUGUUACUUUCCGCCUAUUUUUCAAACUUCUUCCUAGAUUGACAUUACGCUUUCAAAUACUCAGACGAUUAAUUACAGUGGAUAAACUUUCCUACGAAAAUUAUGAAAAUCGAUAUCUUCGAAAAAUACAUUGUUUUAAGUUUCGAAUAUGUUGCGAAUAAAAUAAACGAACUUCUAAAUUUCAUAGUAAACGAAAAAUGAAAUACGAAUGAAUUACACUGAUUCAGCUUUAAUAUGUCUAACUACGACUUAUGAAAGUAUCUGCGGACAUUAAAUACGAAGUAUUAAAUAUGAAAAUUAUAAAACAGCUUUAAUACAUUUACUCUUUUCAUUUACUCUGAAUACUAAUGUAAUAUCCACGACAUUAAUACCGAUUAAAUUAAGCUAAAGAUUAAUACGAUAUCAAGCAACGCCGACGAGUCAUCAAUCAUGGUCAGGAGGCAGGUCCGUACUGCAAAGGUUUAAAUUGUGAACGUCGAUCGGUCAUUUAUUUUCCACUGCUCUAAUGUUAUAAAAACUAUUCCGAUACGACCGAAUUGUAAUUCGUUCAGUGAACAAACAUAUCUGGCGAAGGACUGGGAUCUGAACGGAACAGAUUCGAUGUCUUCGCCACAUCGAUCGCCGUACCACGACAGAAUACAUAUACACGAUGUCGAGGUAUUAAAUCUCCAUUGUCGACGCGCCGUCGAUACUUCUGAAUUACGCUCGACUGGCUGUUCGCACGUCACCAUUUGCAAAGCAUAAAUUCGCUUUGAUUCGCGGACGAUUCACGACACGUCGAGCACAUCCGGAAACCGCUGUGUGCUUUCACCCUUUUCCACGCCACGUUCCACUCUCGCCAGACGCACCGAGAGCCACGGCCAAUCACGAGGGACAGAGCAAUUUGUUCAGCAAAUUAGGUUAAAUCUGAAUCUUGGUGGUCUCGUUUCCCCGCGGCCUCUUGCCAUCGAUUAUCCACGCACACACGCGCCUCUCCUGCCGGAAGAAGGGGACACAAAGGAUGAAACGAGAACGCCGCGUGUCCAACCGAACGGAAAGUGGAGAAAAAUUGCGGGCAAAUUACUUUGAGUAUAUGUUACAAAUGGUGCGGUAAUAGGUCGGAUUUUUAUGUAAGAAGCUCAUUUGGCAAAUCGAGUAACCUCGUAAAAAGUGGAGAAAAUUGAUGAAAUUAUAUAAGAUAAGCGUGGAAGCUUUGCGAUUGAUAAGCAAUUAAGAAAAGUAAUUAUUAUGCGAAUUUUAAUAUAUAGGAAUUGCUAUUAAAGGGAACCAUGAAGCCUGCUUGAGAACCAGAGAGUAAUUUACGACUGAAAUAUCCAAGGUAAAUAUUAAACGCAGAACAGUUAAUAGGAAUCGCGGAUAUGAGCUCAUGUACGAAAAACAGAGAAUAAAAUCGUAUCAAAUUCAUACAAAUUAAAUGUAGUAUAUAAAUUUAUACGACGUAAGUACAUAAUAACGAAAUAUGGAAGCACCGUUAUUUUCAUGCAUAACAUAAUUCAGCGUAUUUUAAUCAUCAGCGACGUUAAAAGUCUGUUUAUAUUUCGAAAUUGUUUAAUAUCCAAAUAAAUUAACUGAUUAAUUAUCCAGACGUUUAAUUAAAUGAUUUAUCGUUAUUAUAUGACAACGCGUUAUUGACGGCAAAAAAUGGAUUGUACGGAAUGAUGCUGCAGGUUAAUAACGUCUGUCAAUAUCGAUAAAUGGGUAAAAAUGGAUUUAGCCGAAUUUUCUCCUUUAUUUUAUAAAAACGUUUAAAUGUUUAUGUAUGUAUAUGUAAUCUUGAUAAUACAAACUCUACAUUGUAUCAUGAAAGAAGCUGUCGUAAAAUAAAUGAUCACCCUGAACAAUUUAGAACCAUCUUUCCUAACAUGAGAUUAUAUAGAUCCCUCUUUCUCUUUUUCAAGACGUAUCUAAAUAAUUGAUAAUCAAAAUUUCGACUCAUUUGUAGAAAUAUUGCAUGUACGCUGAUGCCCCUCGAGUCUUAAAUAAAUUAUCUAUAGCGGCAAACUACUGCAAAGCUUGUAGCAUUUUCUUAACAUUAAAAUUUCCAAUUUUCUCUGUUUACAAAUCCUCUAUGUACAUAGAUGUUUUUCACAUUCUAAAUAGUUUACUUGCAGCAGCAUAAUUUUCCCUAAUUUCUAAUCUGCCCCGGUAUUUCGUAAUCUCCAAUUUUCCUCUCUUGAUAGUCCCUAAUUUCAAAGCUCUCUUUGCCUGGUAUAUAUUUCGUAACCUCCAAUUUUCUCUUCUCAACAAUAUCGCUCCGUUUCAACCCUCGUAUUAUUGUUUCCCUUGCAUAUUUUCGCACCGGUGUUAUCUCGAUCCUUUUCAACACGUAUAUGCUUCUCGUCAGAAAUCCAUAUUCCAUGAUCAACCUUACGUCAAGCCACAGAGACGAGAAAAAAAGGCAAUGUCAUCGGCGAAGGAACUGAAAACCGUUGUCAUCGGUCGGCGAGCAAAAAGGAUCAUCGUCUUCGUACGUGGCUUCGAAGAAAAGAAGCAUACGUGGGCGCAAGGGAAGAAACGGUGCACGUACUCGGGAUAGAAGAAGUGGUGUCGGCCAUUUAUCGGCAGGAUUUACUGUUCUACGUCCCUCCUCUCUACCGAUUGUCCGUGAAUUCGAACGGUUAUAUCACUGGAAUUUCAUUUCUGUCCGACUGCGGGACAUUACCGUCCGUUUGCUCUGUCCCACGAGUUGUGAGAGAUUUUCCUGUCCGCCACCCUCAUAAUUUCCCCUCUCCGCCGUCUCUGCCAUCCUUCAAGGACCACCGGGAUACCUCAAAACGACGUACUUAGUAGCCGGCGAAAGAACAACCGUAUAUAUUUGCGGGAAAAUGCAAAUCAUCCUCGAUAUGAACGAAAUCAAUCAUCACGGUUUGAUUUAAAUUUUCCAUCGCCAAGUAACUAACAGGAUGUUGCGAGUUUUAAGCAAACUAAACACUGUUCUGUGCUAACUAGGCGAGUUUUUAUAGACGAUAGUAUCGAGGGACGAAUGGUUUUUUUGAACCGUUCAACUUGGACUUUAAGCGACGAAGUUUUAUUCCUUGUUGGUAUAAUCGCGGAAUCGACGGCAGUUCCUUAGUUUUAUUAAUGCUGCGAGCAGCUUUGUUAAAACUUGAGAGCAGACGGGCUCUUUGUAGAGUACACCGAGUGUAACGGAGAGAUUACCCUGACACGGUUGCGUUAAAAAUCAUAUCGAAAUUUUUCAUUCUCUACCGUUUUAAUUCAAAAGUAUAAGCGUUGGCAAAAAGAUAUUUGCGUUACAUAAAUAACGAUAGAUAAUUAUUACGCACUUAAUUCCGUUGACAUUUUUCUCAAAAUUUUUUUUUAAAUUGUACAAGUUCGACUUCUGGAAUUAUUCGAAUACGAUGUUCCUAACAAAAUUCUGGUUACCUAAUUCACUUUUCCGACUCGCAGAUGCCCAACUUCCCCAUACCACGAGUUCAAUACAGCAUCAAGCCGCGGAGGUCUAGCCAGUUUGCCUAUCAUAGCGGAUAAUUAAUCCGGCAAAUCAUUGGCCAAUUGCAAUUGCCAAUGCGACCACGUUAAUUAACGAUCUACAGUUAAUGGAUGGACUACAAGCAAGUGCAUUGCGUAAAACGUUGAUUUGCCAAACAUUUUCGGCAAGAAUUAUUCCAUUGACAAUUAUCACGUGCAUGGAAGCUCGUGCAUGUACGGGCACGAACGGGAUCUGCUAUUUUCAUGAGAGAGGUCAACGCCGAAGCCACGUACCAGUAAUAACAUUGCAGUCUAUGACGAUGCUUAUUACGAACCCGAUAUAGUGCACACGAAGUCAGAUACUGCAGAAGUAAAACUAGACGUUCUUGUAAAAAUGUCUCAUACAACAAAGAAAAAAAGAAACUAUCGUAAUUAGGAUCAUAAAGGAUAACAGGAGCUGUAGCAAUCGGUUUCAUUCUCUUGCCCACCUUUUACCUAUUUUCUUCUAACGCUCACGAAAAUUAACACGGACCUUCUGUAUCGUGCAAAUCCUUUGUUACUUUCAAGAUUAAGAACCGUUACAUGCGCUUUCAUUCGCAGAUUUUCAAGUCGAACUUAAUAUGUUUAUAUACGUAUAAAUAUAUCUAUGUGAAAUAUAAAAAUAUAUAAAAUAGCCCACGAAAAUGUGAUCCAAUUACUUUUAUGAACGGAAGCUUGACAUUAACACGGACAACAGCUACGAGAUUUAUCUGAAUUUCAUCUGGAUGAAAGUCUAGGAAGUCGUUGACUUUAACUUUGAGAUGUUAGCGUACGGCUUCUAACAGACUCAAGGUUCCAUUGAUAUCAAAGUUUUAUACAUAGAAUCCAAUAACUAUGCGGUGCACGUGUACGGAUUUAAAAGAUUGCUUAUAUUCUUAUAACUUCAGUGUUCUGGUGUAACAGUCUAAUAUAUAGUUCCAAGAACCUUAACAAAAAUCUUUUUUAAAUUCUAAUUUUUCAAUUUUAUAACAACAAGAUGAUCUUCCUUAAUAAAUGCUUUUCUUCGAUUUAUUAAAAGAAAGGAAAUAAUAUGAAAUUUAAUCUCCGUUGAAACUGCAUCUUUUUACCGUAAAGUUUGCUGUCUUUUUUUCAGGAGAAAAAUAUCGAGUGAAACAUUUGCGAGGAUUAGACGAAAACGUGACAUUAGGUAUAAGGUAGAUACUUAUUAUUUACUGUCAGGUAUACUGUACAUAAUAUUUCUUUUGCCUUACAAAUAUUAUAUAAAAUUACAGUCGAUCACGGAGAGUAACCUCGCACACAGUCUCACGGACACACUGAUAUACCCACACGCACGGUAGGCGACACGUACACGCGCACACAUGCACACUACACGCGAAAUACUCUAGCUCACAUACCAAGUAGACGUUAUUACAGAUUCGCGGAUCAACUCGCCAAACCUUCCUCCUAAAUUUACGUACAGAUACGUGCACGUUAUAGCUAACUUGCCUUAUAAUAUCAGAACACGUGCAUCCCUCGCGUCCUCCCGCGAUCUCUUUCCCUCGUUGGUUCACGCGUUUUCACUCCCCUUCGAUCAAAUUUUGCCUCGUGUUAUCGUUGUUUGCUAAAUGACAAAAUUUGGAAACAGAUAUUUUUGCACAAUUUGUACCGCGGUUUCUCCUUAUCGAAACACAAUGAGAAUAAUCGUAUUAAAAUCAUUUACAAGCAAAAGAGUCUGAAAAUAGAGAAUCAAGUUACAUGUAAUGCGCGCCACGUUAAAUUUGAAUUUCGAUCGUUGAUUCUUAAUUUGUUCCUUAUCUCGGUUUUUCAGGCCAAAAACAACCAGAAAGAGUUUAGGUCACACAUCGCCCGAUACCUCUAGUUUCACGAAAGACAGCCUAACGGAAGAGAAAAAGAAGAAGAAAAAAAAAAAAAAAAGAAAAAAGGAAACUCGUGGAAAAUUACGUUUUCUAGUAAAUCCGAACCGUAUAGAGAGAAGAACAAGUGCUAUCCACUCGGCAGACACGUAACAUAACCGUUCUAUCGCAUUCCCGGCGAAUACUACGUGGGACAACCGGAACAAAGAGACAGAAGGAACCAAGGCACGGGUAAAAGGUAGGAAAAAAGCGAAAGAAACACGUUCGUUGUCCCUCUCAACGAGUGGUACUAUCGUCGUCGUGAGUUAACGGCGAAAAAAGACUGGUAUUUCAAGCGUGUACGAGACGCGCUCAGGACUCUCUUUCGCGUUUAUUGCCAGCUUCUAUGGGUUGUGCUCGAUGGAAGGAAAGAACGAGAGGGACGAUAGAAGGUGGAACAAGGUGUCGCGCGUUACGUGCAUCACCGUGUUUCGAUCGUUCGUUGCGUUCUUCGUCUCCGUGGCGGCGGCGGCGGCGGCUAUUUGGCUCGUUUCACGGUGCUUCGUUCGCUAAUCCCUGCUCUGAUUAGGGCGCGAAAACACGCGAUCGGACGUAAACAAGAGGAAAAAAAAGUCUAUUCUCCUCGAUAGAGAUUUCUUCGAUGGUCUGUAAAAAGAACCGGAUGGACGCAAUGAAAGGAAAGCCGGAAACUCGCGGGAUCAAAGAGGAGAGCGCUGUUUCGUGGAUCGUCGCGCAAUUAUCCGCACGCGCGCCCAGAGAAACGCUCCUUCUUGGUACACGCUCGAAGGUUCCCAUUGAAUCUAUCGAAACUGUCGUACGAUCGUCCUGGUUCCAUGUGUCCGGAACGACCGUUAUGGGUGCAAGUUUUUCGCUUCGGGACCGGAAACUUGCGCCAUAGAGAGACCCGUUACGAGUUACAUCGAGGGAAGUUCGAGUUGCGAGAAGAAACGUGGUUACGUCUACAAGACGCGCAUUCCGAUUCGUGGUGCCACAGUCGUAACGAAGAGUUCUGCGAUACGCGUUAUCCGUCCUUAAGGUCGAGUGGCUUUCCUCGUGGCGGAUUUCCGCUCUUCGCGUAUUCGUCUCUCUGACAGUACCGACUGAUCGUUUCCCUUGCGUGAUUCUGUAAACUCAAUCCGACCUUAUCUUCGACACCCACCCAAGCACACAUGCGCGUUUAGUACGCGCGACGCAUCGCACCCUUGCAACACACGCAGCCAGGCAACGACACAAACAGAUAGCGGAAGGAUGAACGCGCGAAAGAAGGUCUGAACGCAGCGCUACGAUACGCUACCUAUGGAAAAUCGCGACGGUGGCCGCGUUUUUGGCCACGCUGGAUGGACGUACAGGAGGAUAAAGGGAAUCGAAAGGACUGAGAAAAGUACGCGCUGAAUGAGAGCGAGUGGAAAGAGAAAGGUGAGCGUGGCAGGAUCGUGAAAUCGCUGAGAAAAUCGUUCCGUUUCGUGAAAAUUCACCAAUGGAAAAGAACGGAGAUUUUCAACGGAUUUCGUGAUCUACGCGAACGAAGAGAAAAAAGAUUGAAGCUAUACCGAUCGCCGUAAAUUUCUCCGUUCUCUUCGAUCCUUUUUAUACAGAUAUACAUACAUAUAUAUAUGUGUGUGUGUAUAUAUAUAUAUAUGCGUGUGUGUAUAUACGCGCAGUUUAUUCGGUUUUCGAAGCGUUUUUGGAAAACGCGCGAUCUUGUACCAACACAUGCAUGUGACGAUGUAUCGACUCGCGGUGUUCGAACCGAGCGACGUAGAAACGAGCCGCUUAUCGAAAUUCUUUUUUACGCAUACCUACACAAUUUUUGCACACGUCUUCUACGUACAUAUAUAUAUAUAUAUAUAUAUAUAUAUACAAUCAUAUAUUUAUAUAUGUAUAUGUAUAUCGUCCUUCGUCUGCGACACAUCAUCAUGCCUAUUCUCUUUAACUCAUUCUACGUUUAUCACACGUACACGCUCACUAUUUUGUUCGAAGAAAAAUAACAGGUAUGUAUAUUAUACAUAUAUAUGUACACACACACAUAUAAUAUAUAUAUAUAUGUAUAAAUACAAUGAACGGAGUAUCCAAGUACGUCGCACAAACAUCUUCCUUCGUAGAAGGGAACUACGAACCGGCGCAUCCGACGCCAACACAUUUUUCUUCUAUCUAGGCAACGAUCUGCUAAAACGAAAGAUCAGAAUUCGAUACAUCGAACGAUCGACUAACUUCCUCUUAACAGAAAGGGAGAUAACAGGGAGGAAGAGAGGGAGAGAGAGAAAAAGCACGACGAAAUUGGAUACUCCGUUCGCGCGAUCGUGAUCUUAGAUUUUACGCCAAGCACAAAUGGGAAGAACCUUUCAAUAUCCAGACGUUUCGGUGUAUAAUCGUUGAACAUUGGAUGAUUCCGUUCCAUCGUUUCCCCCUCAGCCCUCGAUCGAUACCAGACACCUCGAAUUUCGCAGUUUCGACAACCCUCGUCGACUUUCCUCGACCACCUUCCACGGCGUCGUUCGCAGUGUAUUUCGUGCAUUUUCCAUUCUCACGCACGAUGCUCGUAAAACGAAAAAACCGACCGCGUGUAUACUGCAGGUACUUGGCGCGAAAGUACGCCCUCACGUUGGCGACGAUCGUUCGACGAAUGGUUCACGAACGAUCGCCGACCAGGUCGAUACGUGUGAACGAUAAAAGAUAGGUUUCCUCGAAGACACAGUCGAAUCACUGUCGCAUCUGUAAUUGUAAUAAGCGUAUUUCGUAGAAUUGGGCCAAAAAACUAGAACGAUACUUUCUCUUGUUGUCUCCGUAGUUAUUUAAGCGAUCUCAAUUCAUCGUUUUACUUAGCAUCAUGUUCGAUCGAGCUUUUAUUUCUUUAGAAGAGAUCGGGGAGUAAAGUCGAUGCGGGUUUAGAUUCUGGUGAUCGUGCUCUAAUCGUUGGACCAACUCGAGCGAGUAUGAUCCGUGAAACGCAGUGAAUCAAGAUCUCGAAGACAAAAAUAUAGAAUGGAGUAUGAUGAGAAUCGUCGUCGGCGUAGCCGCACGCGAUGAAGCUAAUUAGGACUUUUAGGGGCGAUAUUGUCAUGAAGAGUUCCGUUUUCUCGCGCUAUCUUAUCGCCUAUUUACAACGCACGGCGGCCCAACGCACGGCAGAGUGAAAAUCUCAUACGAAUCGAUCUUAUUCGCUCUUUGACGCGACCGAUCGCGACAAAAAUCUGAUCGAUCGCGUUUCCUUCUAUAUUUAAUCGACGACUCGAUUGUGAAUCGGACACGAUUUAUUAAACAUUAUUGCAUCGAUAACGCUGAUUCCUUGGAGAAAGCAAUUUUCAUCGAUUAUUCAACGCUAGACGGAUUUCGAAUACGUGAAAUUUUCGCUCCAUCUCGAGACGGAGAGUCGUCGAGAAAAUUGCCGGUGUCGCGACCCAUAUGUCGGUUCUUUUUCGUUCUCGUUCGCUUUCCUCCCUUCACGAUCGAGAUAGAUGAUACGUUUUGUGCGCUCAAUACUAGCACGAAACACCUUUUUUUUUUUUUGCACAGUAGAAGCGUAAUGCGUUUGCGUAAAACGAUCAUUUACAGAUAC